CAGGUAACUAAAAAAAAAAAAAAAAAAAAGAAAAGAAAGAAAGAAAAAAAAGGUUAGAGCGAAAAGGCUGGAGGGCUUGUUAUGGGGUUAGCGUGAGAGAAACGAGUAAUUUUGUCCACCCUUCUUUACCAGUCAAACCAGUAACUCUGGAUAGAGCACACUCGAGCAGUUUUUACCCUUGUGGUCCCUGAUGGCUUCGCACAGUGAUACUCUGGUGGUGUUCUUUGGGGCAACAGCUGGUGCAAAUGGGGGUAAACUGGGGUCGGAUGAGAGGGAAAUAAUUCUGUUGGUGUGGCAAAUUGUGGAUCUACAUGAGAAAAAGGUGGGGAAACUUCAGCAGCGCCUGAUUAAACCAGACACUUUGGAAUUAACAGAUCAGUGUGAAGAGGAGACAGGAUUGAGUGUGGACGAACUUUGUAAAGCAGAGCCUCUGGACACGGUUCUUCAACAGUUCCAGCAGGCCGUAUCUGCAGAACUUAAAACUCUGGGCAGAAGCUCCUACACGCUGUGCGUGGACGGACCCCUCCUCGUCCGACAGGCCCUUCACCCUGAGGCUUCCAAGAAGAAUUUGGUCCUGCCAGAGUGUUUUUACUCAUUUGUGGAUUUAAAAAGAGAGUUUCACAAAUGCUGUCCCAACGCCGGUCCGGUGAAGGACCUCACCCUUCCAUCAAUGCUCGAAUAUGUAUGUCUCCCAGCAGUAAGCGAGCAGAGGGCUGGAGUGAGGGAGGUGAAGAGCAUGACCAUGAUCAUCCAGCACAUCCUGGCUGAGCCAUACAGUCACAAAUUUUCCUCAUUUGAGACCGUGAAGUACAAGUUUGAGUCUGGAGCCUGCAGCAAGACCGAAGCCGUGGACAGUGAGACAGUGAUCAGAGCCAGGGGGUUGCCAUGGCAAUCUUCAGACCAGGACAUUGCUCGCUUCUUCAAGGGCCUUAAUAUUGCCAAAGGUGGCGUUGCACUGUGUUUGAAUGCUCAGGGUCGCAGGAAUGGAGAGGCUCUGGUGCGCUUUGUAAACUCCGAACACAGAGACAUGGCAAUUGAACGACACAAACACCACAUGGGCAGCAGAUACAUCGAGGUGUAUAAAGCAACUGGAGAGGAGUUCCUAAAGAUUGCUGGAGGCACAUCUAACGAGGUGGCACAGUUCCUCUCGAAGGAGAAUCAGGUGAUCAUCCGCAUGCGGGGUCUGCCCUUCACCGCCACACAUCAGGACGUGCUGGGUUUCCUGGGCCCCGAGAGCCCCGCGACGGAUGGCACAGAGGGGCUCCUCUUUGUUAAAUAUCCUGACGGAAGGCCCACGGGUGAUGCCUUUGUGCUGUUUGCCUGUGAAGAAUACGCCCAGAACGCUCUGAAAAAGCAUAAACAGAUUCUGGGGAAGAGGUACAUCGAGCUGUUCCGCAGCACAGCAGCCGAGGUCCAGCAGGUGCUGAACCGCUACAUGUCCACUCCACUGAUCUCCACACUUCCUCCUCCUCCCAUGCUUCCUGUUUCUGUGCUGGCUACUCAACCCUUCAUCACCACCGGCAGCAGCAGAGACUGUGUGCGGCUGCGUGGUUUGCCAUACACUGCCGCCAUCGAGGACAUCCUGGAGUUUAUGGGAGAGCACACCGUAGACAUUAAACCCCACGGUGUUCAUAUGGUGCUCAAUCAGCAGGGUCGUCCGUCCGGCGACGCUUUCAUCCAGAUGAAAUCAGCAGAACGAGCCUUUAUGGUAGCACAGAAGUGCCAUAAGAAGAUGAUGAAGGAUCGUUAUGUGGAGGUGUUCCAGUGCUCCACGGAAGAGAUGAGCUUUGUGCUGAUGGGAGGGACGCUGAACCGUAGCGGCUUGUCUCCUCCGCCGUGCAAACUGCCCUGCCUUUCACCACCGACCUACGCUGCAUUUCCAACUCCAGCUGCUAUGCUUUCCACCGAGGCAGCCAUGUAUCAGCCCCCCCUGCUGGCCACUCCAAGAACUCCACAGCCACCGCCACACAGCCCUGCCCCAACCCUUGCUUACUAUUCCCCUCAGCCACAGCUGUAUAUGAACAUGAACAUGAACUACACCACUUAUUACCCCAGUCCUCCAGUGUCCCCGUCUGCAUUGAGUUAUUUUGCAGCUCCUCCAGGCUCACUAGCAGCACAGCAUUCUCCUGCUAUUCUGCCUCAGCAUGGCGCUCUGGUGCGCAUGCAGGGACUGCCUUAUAACGCCGGGGUUAAAGACAUCCUCAGCUUCUUCCAGGGUUACCAGUAGGCGGAGUCUUCAACUGAUGUACGCUCCUGAGGAUUACAGCAGUUUGAUGGGAAUGAGCGAUCAGGCCCGUGCUCUGGUCCAGCCCAAAGAGUGGCUCUGCCUGUAGGGGGCGCUCCUCCAGCUCCAGGCGGACUCUGUGCUCGUCUUGUAUAACCUGAGUGGCCAGCGGAGCGGGGAGGCGCUCGUCACCUUCCCCAGUGAGGAGUCGGCGAGGCGUGCUGUGGCCGAGCGCUCCAACCUUCCCCUCUCUGGCCACCGUGUCCGCCUGAUCUGCUGCGAAUGAGCUAAACACUCACCACUUGAAGCCGACUCCAGGAACGAGCGAGGUCUGCACUUCACCUGGAUUCUCUCUCUCUCUCUCUCUCUCUCUCUCUCUCUCUCUCUCUCUCUCUCUCUCUCUCUCUCUCUCUCUCUCUCUCUCUCUCUCUCGCUCCCUCUCUCCCUCUCAAUGCUGAUCUUACCCAGGCGCCCAGGGAGCAGUCUUUCCUCAGUUUGUAACGUGCUACUGCUGGUGGAGGUGCUAGCAUGGUGGAAAUACAUGAACUCCUAUGUAUAUAUGUAUUUAUACAUGAAAUGCAACAUAGUUAAAAUUCCUUGUGUAUUCCAGUGUGGAUAUGGAAGACUUGAUGUAUAUUCAGUUUUGUGUUCUUUAUGCAGACUAGCCUAAACAUUAAGGCCAAAAUCACUUCAGCUCUUCCUGCGGGAGAAAUCCCGCAAUGAGGAUUCACUGGUUUUUUUUUUUUUUUUUUUUUUUUUUAUUACUCGAAGGCAGUGCAAUAUACAAAGGCUAAGCCAGUACAGCCUGCAAGAAAGGAAUGAAAACUACUACUGAGGCCUGUUUAAUGCCACUACUGAAUGUCCAAGUUUCUAAAACGCCAAUCUAUGCCUCAACCUGGUGCCUGUAGACAACCUGCUGCACGCAAGAUUUUUUUCGUCAUCGUAGAUCUUGUUAAUUAUCUCGUCACAAGCGAGACUGGGCGUGGCCCUUUAUCUACACGAACUUAUUCUUAGUUAAAUCGAAUCCAGAACAGAGCCGUUUUAUUUAAUGCGAGAAACAAGCCGUCGUGGCUUUUGUCUGAUCUGCAUGCUUUCUUUUGCAGCGUUUAUUACUGAGAGAUGAUUUUCUUUCCUAAUCUAUCUAACGUGACUCGAGAGGCCUUCGGUCAUCGCGGUGCCUUUACUCUUCUCCUUUUUGUGCCAUUACUACAUGAGCCAGAGUUCAAUUCCAACUGUAAAAAGCUCAACGCGCUUCUCCGGCACCCGAGUGGGCAUUUAGGAUUUGUUUUGGUUUUUUUUGUUUUGUUUUGUUUUUUUAAACAAAGUUGUAUGAAAACUAAAGAUAAGAUUUAUAAAAGUUAUGUAAACAAUAAAAUAUUAUUCUGAAA